rnacentral:rRNA from 1 species
UACGUAGGGGGCUAGCGUUGUCCGGAAUUAUUGGGCGUAAAGAGCUCGUAGGCGGUUCGGCAAGUCGGAUGUGAAAUCUCCACGCUCAACGUGGAGGGGCCAUUCGAAACUGCCGUGACUCGAGUCCGGUAGGGGAGUGUGGAAUUCCCGGUGUAGCGGUGAAAUGCGCAGAUAUCGGGAGGAACACCGGUGGCGAAGGCGGCAUCCUGGACCAAUUCUGACGCUGAGGAGCGAAAGCCAGGGGAGCAAACGGG